rnacentral:tRNA from 1 species
GGGUCGUUAGCUCAGUCGGUAGAGCAGCUGGCUUUUAACCAGUUGGUCAGUGGUUCAAAUCCACUACGACCCA